ACGCUCGACACCUACGGGAGGCGGCAGUGGGGAAUAUUGCACAAUGGGGGAAACCCGUGAUGCAGCGACGCCGCGUGAGCGAAGAAGUAUUUCGGUAUGUAAAGCUCUAUCAGCAGGGAAGAAACUGACGGUACCUGACUAAGAAGCACCGGCUAAAUACGUGCCAGCAGUCGCGGUAAUCUGAGCGGGCUGGCAAGGC
rnacentral:rRNA from 1 species